rnacentral:rRNA from 1 species
CCUACGGGAGGCAGCAGUGAGGAAUAUUGGUCAAUGGGCGAGAGCCUGAACCAGCCAAGUCGCGUGAAGGAUGACGGCCCUACGGGUUGUAAACUUCUUUUGUCAGGGAGCAAUUGGGUCCACGCGUGGGCUUAGCGAGAGUCACUGAAGAAAAAGCAUCGGCUACCCCGGUGCCAGCAGCCGCGGUAAUACGGGGGAUGCGAGCGUUAUCCGGUUUUAUUGGGUUUAAAGGGUGCGUGGGCGGAAUGUAAAAUCAGCGGUAAAAAUUCGGGGCUCAACCCCGUCGUGCCGUUGAAACUGGUGUUCUUGAGUGGGCGAGAAGUAGGCGGAAGGCGUGGUGUAGCGGUGAAAUGCAUAGAUAUCACGCAGAACUCCGAUUGCGAAGGCAGCAUACCGGCUCCCAACUGACGCUGAAGCACGAAAGCGUGGGUAUCGAACAGGAUUAGAUACCCUGGUAGUC